GCAGCGACGCCGCGUGGAGGACGAAGGCCUUCGGGUCGUAAACUCCUGUCAGGUGGGAMGAAUGKUGWGUGGAUGAAUAGGCCCAGUGAUUGACGGUACCACCGGAGGAAGCCCCGGCUAACUCCGUGCCAGCAGCCGCGGUAAUACGGAGGGGGCCAGCGUUGUUCGGAAUUAUUGGGCGUAAAGGGCGCGUAGGCGGCCUGGUAAGUCGGAGGUGAAAUCSCUCGGCUCAACCGAGGAACUCCCUUCGAAACUGCCGGGCUUGUGUCCGGGAGAGGRGWGCGGAAUUCCCGGAGUAGCGGUGAAAUGCGKAGAUAUCGGGAGGAACACCAGUUUAUUGGCGAACUCUGGGGCGGUACGACCUCAGGAMCGGUUCUGACGCUGAGGCGAGAAAGCGUGGGGAGCAAACAGGAUUAGAUACCCUGGUAGUCCACGCUGUAAACGAUGGAGCACUUGUGUGUUGCGGGUAUCGACCCCSCUGUUGCCGAAGCUAACGCAUUAAUGCCCCGCCUGGGAR
rnacentral:rRNA from 1 species